rnacentral:rRNA from 1 species
UACAGAGGGGGCAAGCGUUGUUCGGAAUUACUGGGCGUAAAGGGCGCGUAGGCGGCCUGCUAAGUCGAACGUGAAAUCCCUGGGCUCAACCCAGGAACUGCGUCCGAUACUGGUUGGCUUGAAUCCGGGAGAGGGAUGUGGAAUUCCGGGUGUAGCGGUGGAAUGCGUAGAGAUCCGGAAGAACACCGGUGGCGAAGGCGGCCUGCUGGGCAGUUUGGCUGACACUGAGGCGCGACAGCGUGGGGAGCAAACAGG